rnacentral:rRNA from 1 species
AGUGAACGCUGGCGGUAGGCCUAACACAUGCAAGUCGAACGGCAGCACAGUAAGAGCUUGCUCUUACGGGUGGCGAGUGGCGGACGGGUGAGGAAUACAUCGGAAUCUACUUUUUCGUGGGGGAUAACGUAGGGAAACUUACGCUAAUACCGCAUACGCCCUACGGGUGAAAGAAGGGGAUCUUCGGACCUUGCGCGAUUGAAUGAGCCGAUGUCGGAUUAGCUAGUUGGCGGGGUAAAGGCCCACCAAGGCGACGAUCCGUAGCUGGUCUGAGAGGAUGAUCAGCCACACUGGAACUGAGACACGGUCCAGACUCCUACGGGAGGCAGCAGUGGGGAAUAUUGGACAAUGGGCGCAAGCCUGAUCCAGCCAUACCGCGUGGGUGAAGAAGGCCUUCGGGUUGUAAAGCCCUUUUGUUGGGAAAGAAAAGCAGCAGGUUAAUACCCCGCUGUUCUGACGGUACCCAAAGAAUAAGCACCGGCUAACUUCGUG